rnacentral:misc_RNA from 1 species
UCUCCGUUGGUGAACCAGCGGAGGGAUCACUACAGAGCGUUCUACUCUCUGAAAAACCAUGUGAACGAACCGCCGUAGCCUCGGCGGGCCGCCGGGCCGCCCCCGGCGUGCCCGCCGACGGCCCCGAACACACCGUCUACGUAGGCACUCUGAGCGAGCUCGAGGGAAAUCAAAACUUUCAGCAACGGAUCUCUUGGUUCUGGCAUCGAUGAAGAACGCAGC